rnacentral:lncRNA from 1 species
AUGAAGAAUUGCAGUGUAAUUUGUAACUUCAUGGGCUUCUGCUCUCCUCAACUUCUGCUCAGCAGAAACUCACAAAUGACAGCCAUGCCCACACAGCUCAGCACACCGCUCGGUGGGAACCGUCCUCAUUCCCAGGCCUGCGAGCUGCGGCUCGUCGGCGGGAGCGCGGGGUAUUCGCCUGGGAGAGGUGGUGGCAUCAAGCCGCCUCGCGUUCGGGCCACCGCCUCCCCUUCUGCGCUCUCCUGCCGGUCGCCCAGCGCCUUGUCCCGCCGCCCGCCCUUCGGAGCGUGCGAGCCUGGCGCAGGAGGCGGGCUCUGCGCUCACCGGCCUCGCCUCCGCAGCCGGAGGGAGGGAGGGAGGAGGCGGGAAGGCGGGCGGAGGCGGGGGAGGAGGCGGGACUACGGCGGGCCGGAGCUGGCGCCGAGCGCGGUGGGAGAGCAGCGGGUACCCGGCUGGCUUGGCUGGCGGCCUCUGCCCGCACCUCGGCGCCGCAGCCCCGCAUCUCUCCCGCCCUUGGCUCCGACUCCGCGGCCGGCGGCACAGAGGAGCCGGCGGAACCCUGGAUCACUGUACCUGGAGAAGAACAGAAAAAUUAUUAUGCCUGUGUUCCCUCGGGACUCUUUGGAAAUUGCACAGUGACAUCAUCUGGGAUUUAGUCUGUGUUGGGAUUCGUGCUGAAUUUUGAAGCAUAUCGAGGAGUAAACUCCAUAUGCACAAA